AUUGAACGCUGGCGGCAGGCCUAACACAUGCAAGUCGAACGAGUGGCGGACGGGUGAGUAAUGUCUGGGAAACUGCCUGAUGUAGGGGGAUAACUACUGGAAACGGUAGCUAAUACCGCAUACCAUCGGAUGUGCCCAGGUGGGAUUAGCUAGUAGGUGGGGUAAAGGCUCACCAAGGCGAAGAUCCCUAGCUGGUCUGAGAGGAUGAUCAGCCACACUGGGACUGAGACACGGCCCAGACUCCUACGGGAGGCAGCAGUGGGGAAUCUUGGACAAUGGGCGCAAGCCUGAUGGAGCAAUGCCGCGUGUAUGAAGAAGGCCUUCGGGUUGUAAAGUUCUUUCAGUGGGGAGGCGGUACCCGAAGAAGAAGCACCGGCUAACUCCGUGCCAGCAGCCGCGGUAAUUC
rnacentral:rRNA from 1 species